rnacentral:rRNA from 1 species
CCAAUAGCGUAUAUUAAAGUUGUUGCAGUUAAAAAGCUCGUAGUUGAACUUCGGGGUUUACCCAUUGGUCAGGCUUAAUUGUCUGCACUGGUGAGAUGAAUCUCUACCUUCUGAGGAACUUUCAUGCCAUUUAUUUGGUGUGAUGGGAAAUCAGGACUGUUACUUUGAAAAAAUUAGAGUGUUUAAAGCAGGCUAACGUCUGAAUACAUUAGCAUGGAAUAAUGAAAUAGGACGGACUGAUUCUAUUUCGUUGGUUUCUAGGAUCACCGUAAUUGUUAAUAGGGAUAGUUGGGGGCAUUAGUAUUCAAUUGUCAGAGGUGAAAUUCUUGGAUUUAUUGAAGACUAACUACUGCGAAAGCAUUUGCCAAGGAUGUUUUCAUUAAUCAAGAACGAAAGUUAGGGGAUCGAAGACGAUCAGAUACCGUCGUAGUCUUAACCAUAAACUAUGCCGACUAGGGAUCGGACGAAGUUAAUUUUAUAAUGACGCGUUCGGCACCUUACG